UAUUCCUUGGUUUUAGGAAAGGAGACUUUUUGAAGGAAAGCACCAUGGCCUGGACACUGGUUUUCCUUUCCCUUCUUACUUAUUUCUCAUGUGUCACUUCACAGCCCACCUUGACUCAGUCGGUCUCCCAGUCAGGAUCUCUAGGAGGGACAAUUAAAAUAUCCUGUGCCAUCAGCAGCAAUCCAAACUACAUUCACUGGUUUCAGCAGAGAUCUGGGGAAGCCCCUCGCUUUGUGCACUGUGAUACCUGCAGCAGCAGAGGAGAAGGGAUCCCAGACCGAUUCACGGGAACCCGAUCAGGCAACAACGGCUACUUAACCAUCACCAACCUUCAGGCUGAAGACGAGGCUGAUUAUUACUGUUGCAUGUGGUAUAGCAGUGGAAACGUGGUACAGUUCCACAGUGAUACAAUCUAA